UACGAAGGGGGCUAGCGUUGCUCGGAAUCACUGGGCGUAAAGGGUGCGUAGGCGGGUCUUUAAGUCAGGGGGGAAAUCCUGGAGCUCAACUCCAGAACUGCCUUUGAUACUGAGGAUCUUGAGUUCGGGAGAGGUGAGUGGAACUGCGAGUGUAGAGGUGAAAUUCGUAGAUAUUCGCAAGAACACCAGUGGCGAAGGCGGCUCACUGGCCCGAUACUGACGCUGAGGCACGAAAGCGUGGGGAGCAAGCAGG
rnacentral:rRNA from 1 species